CUCUUGAGAGCGGCGGACGGGUGAGUAAUGCCUAGGAAUCUGCCUGGUAGUGGGGGAUAACGUUCGGAAACGGACGCUAAUACCGCAUACGUCCUACGGGAGAAAGCAGGGGACCUUCGGGCCUUGCGCUAUCAGAUGAGCCUAGGUCGGAUUAGCUAGUUGGUGGGGUAAUGGCUCACCAAGGCGACGAUCCGUAACUGGUCUGAGAGGAUGAUCAGUCACACUGGAACUGAGACACGGUCCAGACUCCUACGGGAGGCAGCAGUGGGGAAUAUUGGACAAUGGGCGAAAGCCUGAUCCAGCCAUGCCGCGUGUGUGAAGAAGGUCUUCGGAUUGUAAAGCACUUUAAGUUGGGAGGAAGGGCAGUAAAUUAAUACUUUGCUGUUUUGACGUUACCGACAGAAUAAGCACCGGCUAACUCUGUGCCAGCAGCCGCGGUAAUACAGAGGGUGCAAGCGUUAAUCGGAAUUACUGGGCGUAAAGCGCGCGUAGGUGGUUAGUUAAGUUGGAUGUGAAAUCCCCGGGCUCAACCUGGGAACUGCAUUCAAAACUGACUGACUAGAGUAUGGUAGAGGGUGGUGGAAUUUCCUGUGUAGCGGUGAAAUGCGUAGAUAUAGGAAGGAACACCAGUGGCGAAGGCGACCACCUGG
rnacentral:rRNA from 1 species